AUUAUCUGACAUCUGUGUUUUUAUGUUUAUCUAGAUUCUCCCUAAAGCAUGAAGCUUAGAGCCCAGCCACCCUAAAAAAAUUGAUUAAAUUGGACAGAACUCUGCUUUAAAAUCAAACAGAGGAGUGCACUCGUGAAAGCAUCAAGGAAAGCAACAACACCACAGGAGGUGGGAAAGGACCCAACCUUUGCCUGAAUAACAGUCACUCUUACAAGGAAAUCAGAAAAUCGUUCUUAAUUCUUUUCUCAUUGGUAACCAGGAUUUUGCCUUUCUCAAGCACUUAGGAGAGGUCCAGAUUCCCUGUUUUAAAUCCAAAAGUUGUUAUUUCAAAUAUGGCAGUACCCAC
rnacentral:lncRNA from 1 species